UACGGGGGGAGCAAGCGUUGUUCGGAUUUACUGGGCGUAAAGGGCGCGUAGGCGGCGCCGCAAGUCGACUGUGAAAUCUCCGGGCUUAACCCGGAAAGGUCAGCCGAUACUGCGGGGCUAGAGUGCAGAAGGGGCAACUGGAAUUCUCGGUGUAGUGGUGAAAUGCGUAGAUAUCGAGAGGAACACCUGCGGCGAAGGCGGGUUGCUGGGCUGACACUGACGCUGAUGCGCGAAAGCUAGGGGAGCGAACGGG
rnacentral:rRNA from 1 species